CCUACGGGGGGCAGCAGUGGGGAAUUUUGGACAAUGGGGGAAACCCUGAUCCAGCCAUCCCGCGUGUGCGAUGAAGGCCUUCGGGUUGUAAAGCACUUUUGUCAGGGAAGAAAAGGUUCUGGCUAAUACCCGGAACUGAUGACGGUACCUGAAGAAUAAGCACCGGCUAACUACGUGCCAGCAGCCGCGGUAAUACGUAGGGUGCAAGCGUUAAUCGGAAUUACUGGGCGUAAAGCGUGCGCAGGCGGUUCGGAAAGAAGGAUGUGAAAUCCCAGGGCUCAACCUUGGAACUGCAUUCUU
rnacentral:rRNA from 1 species